UUCGACCUGAGCUCAGGCAAGACUACCCGCUGAACUUAAUCGAUAAGAUGUGCACCAAAGGUGGCUUGAAAAGAGUCUACCUAGUAGAUGAGGGAUUGUUCCUCUUAUCUGCGACACCGUCAAAUUGCCGGGAAAUCUCGUCAAGCCCUUGAUACCACCCUGUCUGGGAAACCGAGGCAGUGGAACCGCGUCGAAAGUCGUGGGCAUGGUAAAAAUUUAAGGGAUAGAGACAAUCGGCAGCCAAGCCCUAAGGGUCACUCCGGUGUCCUAUGGGUGCAGUUCACAGACUAAAUGUCGGUGGGUCCAGCUCGUGCUGGGCUUAAGAUAUAGUCGGCCCGCCCCGAGAGGGGAUCCUAUGAGAGGACUUGCCUUGGGCAAUGAGAGCUCGUAGGGGCUGGGUAAGUACUCGUAUCAGCGACGAUUCGAGGGCCUUGCGCCUCCCAGCCGGAUAUGCGAUCAAUAAAAGAAACUAACUAGGAUUCC
rnacentral:rRNA from 1 species